rnacentral:misc_RNA from 1 species
CGCACAUUGCGCCCUCUGGCAUUCCGGGGGGCACGCCUGUUCGAGCGUCAUUGUCUCAAUCAAGCCCGGCUUGGUAUUGGGUGCCUUCCGGACGGGAGCGCCCGAAACGCAGCGGCUCGGCGGUCCGGGGAAGAACGCACUGGAAAAAUGGUCGCCCGACCACCGUUCUCGCCCCCGGGCGGUCGUCGCCGUCGAACGUGACUUCGCGCACACCCGAUCGAAAAAUUGACCUCGGAUCAGGCGGGAAUACCCGCUGAACUUAA